rnacentral:rRNA from 1 species
UGGGGAAUAUUGCACAAUGGGGGAAACCCUGAUGCAGCGACGCCGCGUGAGCGAAGAAGGCUUUCGAGUCGUAAAGCUCUGUCCUAUGAGAAGAUAAUGACGGUAUCAUAGGAGGAAGCCCUGGCUAAAUACGUGCCAGCAGCCGCGGUAAUACGUAUGGGGCGAGCGUUGUCCGGAAUUAUUGGGCGUAAAGGGUACGUAGGCGGUUUUUUAAGUCAGGUGUCAAAGCGUGGAGCUUAACUCCAUUAAGCACUUGAAACUGAAAGACUUGAGUCAAGGAGAGGAAAGUGGAAUUCCUAGUGUAGCGGUGAAAUGCGUAGAUAUUAGGAGGAAUACCGGUGGCGAAGGCGACUUUCUGGACUUAUACUGACGCUCAGGUACGAAAGCGUGGGGAGCAAACAGG